AUUGAACGCUGGCGGCAGGCCUAACACAUGCAAGUCGAGCGGAUGAAGGGAGCUUGCUCCUGGAUUCAGCGGCGGACGGGUGAGUAAUGCCUAGGAAUCUGCCUGGUAGUGGGGGAUAACGUCCGGAAACGGGCGCUAAUACCGCAUACGUCCUGAGGGAGAAAGUGGGGGAUCUUCGGGCCUCACGCUAUCAGAUGAGCCUAGGUCGGAUUAGCUAGUUGGUGGGGUAAAGGCCUACCAAGGCGACGAUCCGUAACUGGUCUGAGAGGAUGAUCAGUCACACUGGAACUGAGGCACGGUCCAGACUCCUACGGGAGGCAGCAGUGGGGAAUAUUGGACAAUGGGCGAAAGCCUGAUCCAGCCAUGCCGCGUGUGUGAAGAAGGUCUUCGGAUUGUAAAGCACUUUAAGUUGGGAGGAAGGGCAGUAAGUUAAUACCUUGCUGUUUUGACGUUACCAACAGAAUAAGCACCGGCUAACUUCGUG
rnacentral:rRNA from 1 species